rnacentral:rRNA from 1 species
UACGUAGGCAGCAAGCGUUGUUCGGAAUUACUGGGCGUAAAGAGUGUGUAGGCGGUGUUCCCAGUCUGUUGUGAAAUCUCCCGGCUUAACUGGGAGGGUGCGCCGUAGACUGUGGGGCUAGAGUGUGGGAGAGGAAGUGGAAUUCCUGGUGUAGCGGUGAAAUGCGUAGAUAUCAGGAGGAACACCGGUGGUGUAAACGGCUUUCUGGACCAUAACUGACGCUGGAGGCACGAAAGCGUGGGUAGCAAACAGG